CCCCUCUCAGGAUCGCAUCUGGAGAGUUUCUAGAACUCUACCAGUCUCAGCUAUGGGAGGAAACGUCAAACAGAGGCAUACCCAUUCCGUUCCUAGCUCGGACAGUGGCUAACCAGUGGAAUUCAAUCUGCUACAGGU
rfam:Ornithorhynchus anatinus chromosome 12, whole genome shotgun sequence.